rnacentral:rRNA from 1 species
CAGGACGAACGCUGGCGGCGUGCCUAAUACAUGCAAGUCGAACGCUUUUUCUUUCACCGGAGCUUGCUCCACCGAAAGAAAAAGAGUGGCGAACGGGUGAGUAACACGUGGGUAACCUGCCCAUCAGAAGGGGAUAACACUUGGAAACAGGUGCUAAUACCGUAUAACACUAUUUUCCGCAUGGAAGAAAGUUGAAAGGCGCUUUUGCGUCACUGAUGGAUGGACCCGCGGUGCAUUAGCUAGUUGGUGAGGUAACGGCUCACCAAGGCAACGAUGCAUAGCCGACCUGAGAGGGUGAUCGGCCACACUGGGACUGAGACACGGCCCAGACUCCUACGGGAGGCAGCAGUAGGGAAUCUUCGGCAAUGGACGAAAGUCUGACCGAGCAACGCCGCGUGAGUGAAGAAGGUUUUCGGAUCGUAAAACUCUGUUGUUAGAGAAGAACAAGGAUGAGAGUAGAACGUUCAUCCCUUGACGGUAUCUAACCAGAAAGCCACGGCUAACUACGUGCCAGCAGCCGCGGUAAUACGUAGGUGGCAAGCGUUGUCCGGAUUUAUUGGGCGUAAAGCGAGCGCAGGCGGUUUCUUAAGUCUGAUGUGAAAGCCCCCGGCUCAACCGGGGAGGGUCAUUGGAAACUGGGAGACUUGAGUGCAGAAGAGGAGAGUGGAAUUCCAUGUGUAGCGGUGAAAUGCGUAGAUAUAUGGAGGAACACCAGUGGCGAAGGCGGCUCUCUGGUCUGUAACUGACGCUGAGGCUCGAAAGCGUGGGGAGCGAACAGGAUUAGAUACCCUGGUAGUCCACGCCGUAAACGAUGAGUGCUAAGUGUUGGAGGGUUUCCGCCCUUCAGUGCUGCAGCAAACGCAUUAAGCACUCCGCCUGGGGAGUACGACCGCAAGGUUGAAACUCAAAGGAAUUGACGGGGGCCCG